UGAAUUAAAGCCCUUGUCACAAGCUUUAUUUACUUAAAUGCAAUUUAUUCACUAUGGCUGGAAUUACCACCUAUUGUUUUAAUUUAUUUAUUGUACUUAUCUUUUGUUACGAUGAGUAUAACAAGGACUUGAAGUUCCUUGAUCAGAUCAUAACCUGCAAUGUCUUGAUCCUCAUCAUAUAAAAAUGAUUGUGACACCCCGAUCUGGAGGAUCCAGGUGUGCUAGCCGUCACGUGGGCGUGACGUAACCAUAGGCACGACACGGAAGCAAAACAAUAACAAAAAUCAGCUGAAAUUCAAACCAAACUUAAACAUAUCAACCUACGAACAUAACCGGACGAGUUAUACUACAAAUACAUAAGUUCAGAGCAUAGGUAACUGCAGUCAAGUAGGACUAAAAUAAGAAUACAUCACCCUCAGGUGAGUCCUACAUGUCGAGGGUCUGUCAGAAAGCCGGAAAAGGACCUCGUGAGCCACCCACCGCUAAACUAGAACCUGGAGGGGCGCAAAACAAAAUGAGUGGGUCAGUAAAAUCAAAUAGUUUUCCAAAACAGUUCAUUCAAACAUUUUUAUCCCCUCGCCGUAAAAACCUGUAUACUUUCCCAGAAAAUAGUAUAUAAACAUAUAUAUAUGCAAUCUCCUAACUCAACACACAUUCAUCAUCAUAAUAUCUCAGAAAUGAUAUGUCAUGCCCAAAAUAUAAUCAGAAUGUAUCAAUAUCAAUCAGGUGAAUAAUAAGUCAACCGGAGACCCUAAUGGUCUUGUACGGCUGAUUCUAAAGCUCAACAUCCAAUCUAACCGGAGUCACCUCGGUGACCUGUACGGUCUAACUCUGCAUGUCACUCGGAACUACAUAAGGUAGUCUGUACGACGACAGGUGUAUAAAUACGCUAUAGUGCUUCUCACAUCAAUCAUCAGCGCGCAUAUCUAAGGUCACCCACCAGUCGGAACCCCUCUAAUGGUCUGUACGACUGGCAUGUCGGAACCCUCACAUGGUCUGUACGACAUCCACCUACUUGGAUCCAAGACGAGCGUGCGGUGUGGUGAAUAACAAUAUAAGCACUAUCACCUAGGUGCAGGUUAUGAGCUUUCAAUGCAAUUCAUAUAAGUAACUCAGCUGGAAAUAAAUAAACUCACCUGAGCGUCCACCGCGUCAUUUCACGCACAUAUAUAUCAAUUAUCAAAUCCAAUAUUUCGAUAUUUUCAUGCAUGGCAAUUUAAAUUCAUAAAACUCGUAUUUUCUGGGAAAAUAAAUGUAUAUAGGUAAAUACGAAAUCAAAACUGCCCACUCACUGAUAAGUCGACGGGUCGUAACCCCUGUGGCGUCCCUGGAUGCGGUCGUCCUCGGGAUACGUCUCACCUAUAUGCGAAACAACUAUAAAAAUGUUAAUUUUAAACACAUCACCAAUAUCUCGAAAUAACUUCUCAUACGAUGCUCAAUUUGGGUAUAUGAAUAUACCACAUCGACCUACUCGACGUCACGAGCGUCGGGAAAUUUUUAGAAAAAAAUUUGGAGGGCUCACGCGCCCCCACGCG
rnacentral:lncRNA from 1 species